CGUAUUUAGCCGGUGCUUAUUCCUUAGGUACCGUCAUUUUCUUCCCUAAGAAAAGAACUUUACGACCCGAAAGCCUUCUUCGUUCACGCGGCGUUGCUGCAUCAGGCUUGCGCCCAUUGUGCAAUAUUCCCCA
rnacentral:rRNA from 1 species